rnacentral:lncRNA from 1 species
UAUAUAUAUAUAUAUAUAUACACACACAGAGUUUUUCGAUCGAAGUUUGCGGGUGCCAUGUCACCCCUGAACCCCCAUUAGAUCCGCCUCUGCGUCAAAAUAUACACGCACGACUAAUUUUAAACUUGAGAUAUCAAUACCUUUUUGUCUUGCAGCAUCACCUCCAUGGAAAUGAGAUUGUCUUCCUUUCCUAAAUAAUUCAUAAUCACACGACUCGCACCUUUAAAUACUAUUACAUCUUUGUCCCUGAAACCUCUUUAAUAAAGUCAAUUUAGCAGUUAUAUUUUUAAUAAAGUGAAGGAGUGAAGUUAUUGCUUUUCUGUAGAUG